rnacentral:tRNA from 1 species
GCCAUAGUAGCUUACAUAAAGCAUUGGUCUUGUAAACCAAAGACGGGAAACAUCCUCUCCCCUAAGGCU